AAUAAAUAAAACUUUAAUGUCUCCAGAUAAUCCAUAUGAUGUUGCUGAUAAAUGGCUACUCAAGGAGAAUCUUCCACUUUCUUUUCGUGAACAAGUUGUACAGUUCAUUCUUCAAAAUACCGGACAAAACAAUGUUACUUUUGAUGCCUCAUUUCGUGAUCCCUAUACUGGCUCCCAUGCUUACGUACCAGGACAACCUUCUCAUUUGUCUGAUAUUUCUGCAAAACCCACUUUCAAGCAUAUUCCUAAGAAAGGGAUGCUUGUUUUUGAUGCUGCUCGGUUUGAUGGGAUUCUUAAAAAGAUUAUUGAGUUCAAUAAUGCAUUACAAUCUGACCAGGUAGAUAUGGUAGAUAUUUUAUUCUUCUUUGGUUAUUAAUUUGUUAUAGAUACGGUUAAAAUCAUAUACUUUUGGCCAAAGGAACUUCAAAGUUGCCAUGUUCAGGAUUGGGGAAUGUUUUAAUCUUCCAUGUCUGCUUUACCCAUGAUCAUUUCGAACUCCAAUGUGCUUGUUGAUGAUGAUAACUUAAACUGCCUUUUGAUUAAAGACUUGAAAUCUGAAGUUUAUGAUGUCCUUUAAUACGGACUUAAACAUGAUUUCCAACUACCUAUGAGAAACUCUGCAUAUGAACUAUGUAUAAGAAUUAAUAACAAUAAAGCUGCACAUUUUAGCAAGUGGGCUUCAACUUUUACGGAGCAUACAUGAAUUCAAAAAUAAAGUGUGCUGUGUAAAUUGGUUAUAUUUUUUGAAUCUCAUGCAGGAAAAGCAAAACUUGUCUUUGACUGAGCUCAAUGUUUCCAGACUGGGUGCCAUUGUUAAAAUUCUGAAAGAUACUUCACAUUAUCAUUCUAGUAAAUUUGCAGACUCUGAUAUAGACUUGUUACUGAAUCUGCUUCGAUCAUGGCCUAUUGCAAUGAUAUUUCCUGUCAUUGAUAUCAUAAGGAUGAUAGUUCUUCAUCCAGAUGGGGCUAUUUUACUUAACAAGCAUUUUGAAGCAGAAAACGGUAUCAAUGUUAACCAUAAUUUUGUUUUCUGACAUUAAAUUAUGAUAGCAAUCAAUAGAAUCCCAUUUUUUUUAUGUGAAAUUGGUCUGAAAAUUGAGAGAAGUGAGAACCACUCUAGACUCCCAUGCUUGUAGUGUGAGACUCCCGUCCCAUACCUUGUAAUUGAAUCCUAGCAUAGUAGCAUCUCAUCAUGCUUCCCCUGCACCAGUGAUCACGUGGGUUGUCUGUACACUAACUCUUUGACUAGUCACACGUAAGCAUUGUUAU